AGUGAACGCUGGCGGCAGGCCUAACACAUGCAAGUCGAGCGGCAGCGCGGGGGCAACCCUGGCGGCGAGCGGCGGACGGGUGAGGAAUUCGUCGGAAUCUGCCUUUUUGUGGGGGAUAACGUAGGGAAACUUACGCUAAUACCGCAUACGUCCUACGGGAGAAAGGGGGGGACCGCAAGGCCUCACGCAGAAAGAUGAGCCGACGACCGAUUAGCUAGUUGGUGGGGGAAAGGCCCACCAAGGCGACGAUCGGUAGCUGGUCUGAGAGGAUGAGCAGCCACCCUGGGACUGAGCCACGGCCCAGACUCCUACGGGACGCAGCCGUGGGGAAUAUUGGACUAUGGGCGCGAACCUGACCCAACCGUGCCGCGUGUGUGAAGAAGGCCUUCGGGUUGUAAAGCACUUUUGUCCGGAAAGAAAUCCCUGGAGCUAAUACCUUCGGGGGAUGACGGUACCGGAAGAAUAAGCACCGGCUAACUUCGUG
rnacentral:rRNA from 1 species